rnacentral:rRNA from 1 species
UACGUAGGGACCGAGCGUUGUCCGGAAUCAUUGGGCGUAAAGAGCGUGUAGGCGGCCACUUAAGUCCUGCGUGAAAUCUUGCGGCUCAACCGCAAGCGGUCGUGGGAAACUGUGUGGCUAGAGUGCGGGAGAGGAGAGUGGAAUUCCUGGUGUAGCGGUGGAAUGCGCAGAUAUCAGGAAGAACACCCGUGGCGAAGGCGGCUCUCUGGAACGCAACUGACGCUGAGACGCGAAAGCGUGGGGAGCAAACAGG